GUCUUAUUGAAAAAUAAUUUUAAGUCAAUCUGCCCAAUGAAUAAUUUAAAUGGCUGCAGUAUAUUUAACUGUACAAAGGUAGCAUAAUAAAUUGAUUUUUAAAUGAAAUCUAGAAUGAAAGGAUUAAUGAAAUAUAUACUGUCUCAUAUUUAUUAUAUGAAUUUAAAAUUUUAAUAAAAAUGUUAAAAUUUUUUUAUGGGACGAUAAGACCCUAUAGAAUUUUAUAUUAAAUUAAUUUUAUUUAUUAAUAUAAAAUAUAAUUUAAUAUUUAAUUGGGAGAAUUAUUAAAUUUAUAAAAUUUUAAUUUUUUAUAAACUUUGAUUUAAGAAAAUUUAUUGAUUUAUAAUUUAUAAUUAUUAGAUUAAAUUACCUUAGGGAUAACAGCGUUAUAUUUUUUUAUAGAUCAUAUAGAAAAAAAUGAUUGCGACCUCGAUGUUGAAUUAAGAUAAAUUUUAAAUGCAGAAGUUUAAUAAUUAAGUCUGUUCGACUUUUAAAAUCUUACAUGAUUUGAGUUCAAAUCGACGUAAGU
rnacentral:rRNA from 1 species